CGCGUAGGUGGUUCGUUAAGUUGGAUGUGAAAUCCCCGGGUUCAACCUGGGAACUGCAUUCAAAACUGACGAGCUAGAGUAUGGUAGAGGGUGGUGGAAUUUCCUGUGUAGCGGUGAAAUGCGUAGAUAUAGGAAGGAACACCAGUGGCGAAGGCGACCACCUGGACUGAUACUGACACUGAGGUGCGAAAGCGUGGGGAGCAAACA
rnacentral:rRNA from 1 species